GACGAACGCUGGCGGCGUGCUUAACACAUGCAAGUCGAACGGAAAGGCCCUGCUUUUGUGGGGUGCUCGAGUGGCGAACGGGUGAGUAACACGUGAGUAACCUGCCCUUGACUUUGGGAUAACUUCAGGAAACUGGGGCUAAUACCGGAUAGGAUCUCCUGCUGCAUGGUGGGGGUUGGAAAGUUUCGGCGGUUGGGGAUGUACUCGCGGCUUAUCAGCUUGUUGGUGGGGUAGUGGCUUACCAAGGCUUUGACGGGUAGCCGGCCUGAGAGGGUGACCGGCCACCAUGGGCCUGAGAUACGGCGCAGACUCCUACGGGAGGCAGCAGUGGGGAAUAUUGCACAAUGGGCGGAAGCCUGAUGCAGCAACGCCGCGUGCGGGAUGCCGGCCUUCGGGUUGUAAACCGCUUUCGCCUGUGACGAAGCGUGAGUGACGGUAAUGGGUAAAGAAGCACCGGCUAACUACGUG
rnacentral:rRNA from 1 species